GUCCACAUGGCUUCCAAGGCAGAAACCAAGCUUCCAUAUGCCUAUGACAGUUCUUUCCAGAAAAUCCUUCAGUUUCCUCAGAAACCCAGAUUCCCAGGACCUGGUAUAGAUGCACCAACAGGGCAAAGAUCUGGCUUGUGAGAAGUUUCUUUUUGUAAAGUGACUAACCAUACUUCUUCACACUUGUCUCUGUGUGGGUGGGCACCCUGUCCUGGUCCUGGUCAGUUUAAACAAGGGAAGAUCUUGGUGCUCACUCAUCCCAGGUUUCUAAGGCACUUUCUUCUGAUCAUCAUCAUUGAUAAAGAUUUCUGGACCAGUAUUUACUCAUUGCUCAUGGAAUAAUCCAGGCUCCAGAUAUCACUGUUUCCCUGGGUUGAAUACCAGUUGGCUGCACAGUGGUACUGUGGUGAUUCUAUGGAACAACGGCUGCUCCGGCUACUGCCUGUACAAGCUCAAAAGAGGAAGGACAUCAGCCAUCAUCCUAUUCCAGCAUGACCUCAUCUGAACUUCACAAAUUACAACGGGUUAUUCCAGUGCAAGUAUCCAAUGUAAUCAGAUUCGCUUUCUGCAGCAUAUCCAAGAACAAAGUAUGAACACCACUAAAUCAAUAAAAAGGGCUGUGUGGCGUUGACAUCUGAAAAGUAAUUGAAAGAUCAAGUGUGCCCUGUGAGCAGGUGAGUGGGAAGACAGCAUCUGGCUCCACACACUACUCAAGCACAACCCAGAGGGAGAGAGCAUCUGUGACAUUAUGGCUCCUUUUUGGAGACAACUCUGAAGUAGGCUAUAAUUCAUUUAGCUGAGUAGUUGGAGACUCGGAAGCAGCAAGAUUAGAAAACUGGAGAGAAAGACACCCAGAGAACAAACGUAAUAUUGUUCUUAUUUGGCUUCAGGCAUGACUGAACUGGUCUUAGGGAUCGAGCGAAGGACAGAACCUGAGGUUGAACUUGAGCCUGCAGACUCUGUUCUUUGAGGACAUCAGAGUAUAUACAACACACAGGCCUUCAUCCUCUACCUGCUGCAGGCUCACUACGAAGCUGGCAGAUUCUGAAAAUUCUUGAUCAUCGACAAAGCUGUAUCCAUCAGGGUCCUGUUCUGUUGUCACUAGCUACUGGGGACUUCCAGGGUAAGGCCUGAAAGGAAAUCCCUUUUUGUUGUUGACUGCUUUCCAGAGAUUUCUAUUGCUUUUGUUAACUUAACCAACUAUACUAUGAGAAGUUUUCCUCUGCUGGACAUGGUGCUACAUUCUUCAAGAAAGAUCCAUUAGGAAUAUUACCUGGUCACAGAGCUUGCACCUUCACUGUGUGAGAAGAUAGCCUUAAGACACGUGGAAAAUGUCUUCAAGUUCUUUAAGGGGCCAAGACUGGCAAGAUUAUCA
rnacentral:lncRNA from 1 species